CUACGGGUGGCUGCAGUGGGGAAUAUUGGACAAUGGGGGGAACCCUGAUCCAGCCAUGCCGCGUGUGUGAAGAAGGCCCUCGGGUUGUAAAGCACUUUCAGUGAGGAAGAACGCCUGGUGGUUAAUACCCAUCAGGAAAGACAUCACUCACAGAAGAAGCACCGGCUAACUCCGUGCCAGCAGCCGCGGUAAUACGGAGGGUGCGAGCGUUAAUCGGAAUUACUGGGCGUAAAGCGCGCGUAGGUGGCUUGAUAAGCCGGUUGUGAAAGCCCCGGGCUCAACCUGGGAACGGCAUCCGGAACUGUCAAGCUAGAGUGCAGGAGAGGAAGGUAGAAUUCCCGGUGUAGCGGUGAAAUGCGUAGAGAUCGGGAGGAAUACCAGUGGCGAAGGCGGCCUUCUGGACUGACACUGACACUGAGGUGCGAAAGCGUGGGUAGCAAACAGGAUUAGAUACCCCAGUAGUC
rnacentral:rRNA from 1 species